UGGGGAAUAUUGCACAAUGGACGGAAGUCUGAUGCAGCGACGCCGCGUGGGGGAUGAAGGCUUUCGGGUUGUAAACUCCUUUCAGUACAGAAGAAGCUUUAUUGUGACGGUAUGUGCAGAAGAAGCGCCGGCUAACUACGUGCCAGCAGCCGCGGUAAUACGUAGGGCGCGAGCGUUGUCCGGAAUUAUUGGGCGUAAAGAGCUCGUAGGCGGUUUGUCGCGUCUGCUGUGAAAGACCGGGGCUUAACUCCGGGGCUGCAGUGGGUACGGGCAGGCGGGAGUGCGGUAGGGGUAACCGGAAUUCCUGGUGUAGCGGUGGAAUGCGCAGAUAUCAGGAGGAACACCGAUGGCGAAGGCAGGUUACUGGGCCGUUACUGACGCUGAGGAGCGAAAGCAUGGGGAGCGAACAGG
rnacentral:rRNA from 1 species